UGGAGCAAAGCAUACUUCCAUUGUCACCU
rnacentral:piRNA from 1 species